rnacentral:rRNA from 1 species
GCCGGUGGAGAUAGAAGGUUGAAUUCACCAGUUCCCGAUGGAUCACUGAAGUUAAACAACAUUGUGCGAGAUUGAUAUCUGGAUGGGUGACGAUUUGGUCAUUCGCGUUUUGCUACUU